AACCUUAUGGACCUGCGGGCGUAUACCUGCGGAGGGAUCAUUACUGAGUGUAAAAACUCCCAAACCCAUUGUGAACAUACCACUGUUGCUUCGGCGGAUACGCCCCGGGCGCGCUCUUCACAGGGCGUGCCCCGGAACCAGGCGCCCGCCGGGGGACCGAAACUCUUGUUUUCUUAGGAUCUCUGAGUGUGAUUAUUAAAUAAAUCAAAACUUUCAACAACGGAUCUCAGAUCGGAAGAG
rnacentral:misc_RNA from 1 species